CUACGGGAGGCAGCAGUGGGGAAUAUUGGACAAUGGGGGCAACCCUGAUCCAGCCAUGCCGCGUGAGUGAAGAAGGCCUUCGGGUUGUAAAGCUCUUUCAGAUGCGAAGAUGAUGACGGUAACAUUAGAAGAAGCCCCGGCUAAUUUCGUGCCAGCAGCCGCGGUAAUACGAAAGGGGCAAGCGUUGUUCGGAUUUACUGGGCGUAAAGGGCACACAGGCGGUCUUGCCAGUCAGGGGUGAAAGCCCGGGGCUCAACCCCGGAACUGCCUCUGAUACUGCAAGACUAGAGACUAGGAGAGGGUGGUGGAAUUCCCAGUGUAGAGGUGAAAUUCGUAGAUAUUGGGAGGAACACCAGAGGCGAAGGCGGCCACCUGGACUAGAUCUGACGCUCAGGUGCGAAAGCGUGGGGAGCAAGACAGGAUUAGAUAUCCCUGGUAGUCCACGCCGUAAACG
rnacentral:rRNA from 1 species